AGAGUUUGAUCCUGGCUCAGGAUGAACGCUGGCGGCGUGCCUAAUACAUGCAAGUCGAGCGAACGGACGAGAAGUUUGCUUCUCUGAUGUUAGCGGCGGACGGGUGAGUAACACGUGGAUAACCUACCUAUAAGACUGGGAUAACUUCGGGAAACCGGAGCUAAUACCGGAUAAUAUUUUGAACCGCAUGGUUCAAAAGUGAAAGACGGUCUUGCUGUCACUUAUAGAUGGAUCCGCGCUGCAUUAGCUAGUUGGUAAGGUAACGGCUUACCAAGGCAACGAUGCAUAGCCGACCUGAGAGGGUGAUCGGCCACACUGGAACUGAGACACGGUCCAGACUCCUACGGGAGGCAGCAGUAGGGAAUCUUCCGCAAUGGGCGAAAGCCUGACGGAGCAACGCCGCGUGAGUGAUGAAGGUCUUCGGAUCGUAAAACUCUGUUAUUAGGGAAGAACAUAUGUGUAAGUAACUGUGCACAUCUUGACGGUACCUAAUCAGAAAGCCACGGCUAACUACGUGCCAGCAGCCGCGGUAAUACGUAGGUGGCAAGCGUUAUCCGGAAUUAUUGGGCGUAAAGCGCGCGUAGGCGGUUUUUUAAGUCUGAUGUGAAAGCCCACGGCUCAACCGUGGAGGGUCAUUGGAAACUGGAAAACUUGAGUGCAGAAGAGGAAAGUGGAAUUCCAUGUGUAGCGGUGAAAUGCGCAGAGAUAUGGAGGAACACCAGUGGCGAAGGCGACUUUCUGGUCUGUAACUGACGCUGAUGUGCGAAAGCGUGGGGAUCAAACAGGAUUAGAUACCCUGGUAGUCCACGCCGUAAACGAUGAGUGCUAAGUGUUAGGGGGUUUCCGCCCCUUAGUGCUGCAGCUAACGCAUUAAGCACUCCGCCUGGGGAGUACGACCGCAAGGUUGAAACUCAAAGGAAUUGACGGGGACCCGCACAAGCGGUGGAGCAUGUGGUUUAAUUCGAAGCAACGCGAAGAACCUUACCAAAUCUU
rnacentral:rRNA from 2 species